UUACGUCUCCUAUUUGACUUGAGGCGGCACAGUGGCCAAGUCGAUUGGCCGUGGCAAGUGACCCUCCCGGUGGCUGAAGUGUUCUGAGGACUGGCGAGAGAGGCGCGCCAUGCUUGCACCCUGCUCAGGUUGGGAGCUUGGCUGCUUCCGUCUCUGUCUCCGUCAGGUCCGACUGUGGGCUGGCGCUGGGCGCUGGGCUUGCUGGGCUUGCCAAGCCAGGCCGUACAGCUCAGGUGGGGGCGAGCGCUGGCCCGGAUCGGAGACUGAGGUCCCUCCGCCUGGCCCGGCGCGCCGAACUCUGAAGGAGUGGACACUGCAGGUUUAGAUAUCAAGUCAUCAGGGUCUGGCUGUGUAAAAGUUCAAAGUAUUGAGUGUGAUAAUUGCAAAAUUGAAACAGAGCAUGGGACUAGCAUCUUGCAGUCUGUUAAGGGUCAAAAAUUGCAUGUUCAAACAAAAGGAGGCAAAGUGAUCUGUCUGGGAACAGUUUAUGGAAAUAUAGAUAUUCAUGCAUCAGAUAAAAGUGCUGUGACCAUAGAUAAACUGCAGGGAAGUUCUGUUACUGUAUCUACUGAAGAUGGUUUGCUGAAAGCCAAGUAUCUUUAUACAGAAUCAUCAUUUCUGUCUUCUGCUGCUGGGGAUAUUACAUUAGGAAGUGUUCAUGGUAAUAUAACAUUACAAAGCAAGAUGGGUAACAUCACAGUAGAUUCGUCUUCUGGAUGUCUAAAAGCCUCAACUAAUCAGGGUGCCAUAGAUGUUUAUGUCAGCCAACUGGGGAAAGUGAAAUUGAAAUCCCAUAAAGGUUCUAUUAUUGUCAAGGUCCCAUCUUCACUUCAAGCUCAUUUACAGUUAUCAGGGAAAGAGGUUGAUGUGAACUCAGAAGUCCAUGUUCAGGAAAUGGCUGAAGCUCGUAAAGAUGAUGUUGUAACAGUGACUGGACUCAUGAAUCAAGCAAGCAAACGUGAAAAAUGGAUUAAGGCUGAUGCCCCAAAAGGCACUGUAAGUUUUAGAAGGCAAAGUUGGUUUCAGUCCCUGAAACUGCAGGACUAAAACUGAUUUGAGUUGGAUUUAUGAUUUUUAACAAUGAUUCGCAGAUCUGUGACUACAAAAAUGUAAAUCCCACCAUUCAUAUAAAAGUUGAAAACAACAAAUUGAGAAUGAAUACUGGUGAACUGUUUUGGGAGGCUUUUUCAAAAUUUGUGCUUUGCUAUUGUAUUCAUUUUCUACUGCUCUGUAACAAAUUACCACAAAUUUAGCAGCAUAAAAUAAUACUCAUUUACAGCUAUGUCUAGGUUCUCCGCUCAGGGAAUCACAAGGCUAGAAUCAAGAUUUUGGCCAGGCUGAGUUCUCAUCUGGAGUCUCUGGGAAGAAAUCUACUUCCAACUUCAUUCAGAUUAUUGGGAAAAUCCAGUUCCUUGUGACUGGAUGACUGAGGUCUCCAUUUUCUUGCUGGCUGUCAGCCAGCAAUCACUCUAAGCGUCUAGAUGCCACCCACAUGCCUUCUCAUGUUGCCCCUCCAUCUUCAAGCCAGCAGUGAUGCACUGAGUUCUUCUCAUGCUUUGAAUAUCUGACUUCUUCUGCAGCCAGCUGGAAGAAUAUAUACUUUUAAAGGGCUCACUUGAUUAGGUCAGGCCCACCCAGGAUAACCUUUGUUUUGCCAUAUAAUGUAACAUUCAUAGGAGUGAUGGCCCAUCACAUUCAGUUUUCACUCCCACUCAAGGAAAGGAGAUUAUACAAAGGCAUCCAUCAUGUGGGGACAAUUAGCUUAGAAUUCUUUAUAAUGUAGCUCUCACAUGACAGGUUUUCUACUUAGUACCUUUUAUGGCAUCAAUGUAAAUUUAAGCUGUAAAUAAAAAACAAAUAUGUGAAGCAGUUGCUACUGAUUCUUAAUAUAUUUUGUGUAACUUAAGAUAUAGCUAAUUAGGAAAAAAGAAACAGCUAUU
rnacentral:lncRNA from 1 species